rnacentral:rRNA from 1 species
CAGUCGCCGCGGGAAAACGAAGGGGGCUAGCGUUGUUCGAAUUUACUGGGCGUAAAGGGCGCGUAGGCGGACUGAUAAGUCAGGGGUGAAAUCCCAAGGCUCAACCUUGGAACUGCCUUUGAUACUGUUUGUCUUGAGUUCGAGAGAGGUAAGUGGAACUGCGAGUGUAGAGGUGAAAUUCGUAGAUAUUCGCAAGAACACCAGUGGCGAAGGCGGCUUACUGGCUCGAUACUGACGCUGAGGCGCGAAAGCGUGGGGAGCAAACAGGAUUAGAUACCCGUGUAGUCCCUGUCUCUUAUAU